CACUCAUUCAUUAUUCUCCACCUUACCUCCAUUAAUUCCAGCUCCCACCUUCACUUAUUAUCUCUCUCUUUCGGUCUGGUGUUAAAGUGAUUUAUUUAGCUCAUUGCUUCAAUUCAAUUCAAUUCAUCAACGACUCAAUGCCUUAUUCCACCCAAAUCUGAUACGUUAAAUAUCCAGCUAUUACAUUGCGAAUGAAGUUUAUCGGGCGUUGAGGGGGCUAUGAUGACUAAAUGUGAUUUGCCAGCUAAGUCAUAUUCUAUGACUUCGGAAGUGCAAAGGUUUUGGUAAUUUUUUUUUAAAAAUAUAUAGAUUUCAAUACACAAAUGCCAUUCUUCAUUUGGUAAGCAUUUUUUUUAUUAUUUCAGUUUUGAGUUGAUUCUUACUUGAUCUAGAUCUUGGUGGGUCCUUAUGAACGGACUAAAGAUGGUUUUCAAGAUCCCAUAAGCAAGAACUGACUCAUUUUAUUUCAAAUGCUUUUUAUUGCAUAUUGUUGCUAUGCACAGUUAGAUAUCCAGCUAUUACAUUGUGAAUGAAGUUUAUCGGCCGUUGAGGGGGCUAUGAUGACUAAACGUGAUUUGCCAGCUCAUAUUCUGUGACUUUGGAAGUGCAAAGGUUCUGUUUUGAGUUGAUUCUUACUUGAUCUAGAUCUUGGUGGGUCCUUAUGAACGGACUAAAGAUGGUUUUCAAGAUCCCAUGAGCAGGGCUGAUGGGCCCGAGUUUAUUACACAAUGUCCAAUUAGACCAGGAGGGAGUUACACAUACCGGUUCAUAAUUUCAUGACAAGAAGGAACUUAUAGCUCGUGGCUUUGAGCUACUGUUUAUGGUGCAGAAAUAGUGUCCGUUCGAUAAAACAGUGUCCAUUUACCGUAAUUAGUUAAUUCGCUGCUGCAAAUUCUUUUCACUCGCUGAUAUUACGAUCCGCGUAUAUAAUUCAAAAGGGAUUUGACGCAGAAUCAAAGUACAUCAGCGGAGCUCUUUUCAAAUGCAGAAAUUCGCUAUUGUUCGUUGCAGAACCUGUUAAUCUGUUGGUGUUUACAGGUUUGUUGAAAAGUCAUUCUUAUCUACGGUUUGUUCAUCUUCAAUCGAUUAUCUUUUCGGAUUCUAAUAAUCAAAUUUCGUCAUCUACAAGGGGUGUUCAACAAUGGGAUGCCAAAAGUGUGAAAUAAAAUUAUUGAUGGUGAAUAACCAAUUUGAUUUGAAAAACUUGGACUUGGACAGAUCUCAAGGAGUUGUUCAAAAGGAUAUGACCGAAGGCUGAACUAGACUUUUCAAAGUGUAAUUUGGUCAAAGUGAUACGUGUUGCACCUAGCAAAGCAAUCGAGAAGAGGUGAUGUUGUUAUGGCUUCCCUUCAGACUAAAUACGUUAUCAAGACCAUGCAAUGAUCACAAGAUCAAGAGGUAAAAUGUAGUUCAAGAUUUGGGGCUCAUUCACUAUUAGAGAUUAAUCGAGUAAAAGACAAACAACGUAUAAAUAUUGGCUAGGAUGAUUCGUGGCGCUACACAGGCAAAUUUGGUGGAGUCAGAUAAACAUUAUAAAGGAUUCAACUAAAGGAAGAUUCGAUAUAUCUGCAGGAGAAAAGGAUGUGGAACCGUCACAUGGGUUCAUUUGGGUCCAUGACUCCACGUGCACCAGACGUGGAUGGAUGGAUCGACGAGCGAUGAUCAAAGUUGGUUUGAGGUUGUACGGCUUGCCCGCCUUUGAGUACCAAAAAUGUGUAGUACUCUUGCUAGAGAAGGCAUUGAGUAGACUUCCAGAAGGUAAAGAAGAGAUACUUGGAGACUUCCAGAAGGUAAAGAAGAUAUACUUGGAAUAUUUGAUCUUCAAGGAUUUAGUUUGAAGAAUUCAGAUCUUAAAUUCUUGACAUUUUUGUUUGAUGUCUUGUAUUAUUAUUACCCGAGCCGACUGGGGCAAGUGCUAUUUGUCGAAGCUCCAUUUGUAUUUCAGCCAAUUUGGCAGCUUGCCAAGCCUUUAGUAAAGUCGUAUGCUUCUCUGGUACGGUUUUGCUCGGCGGAUGAUAUGAGAAAGGAGUAUUUUACAGAAUCAACACUUCCAGAAAGCUUUAGACAUUAACAACAUAUGCUGGUUUCUUCAUGUAUACAAAAAUCAUUCCAGUUAACCGAGACAACAUUCAAGACUUUGGAUUGGAUGGCACGAACACUAUGCUUCACCCUCCCUUUUUCAAUGCUUGCUUAUCCUUUUUACAUGUUGGCAGCAUCUGUUGAAGUUUUAAGGAAGGCGCAGUUGUGAUUGAAAAAUAGGGAAGCUUUGUGAAAUGUGAACGAGCCAUAUUGCAAUUUUAUGGGAAGAGGCGACCAUGGUGGUGGAGGUUUCUUCGUCGAUUAACUUCGUCUUUGUACCUGCUCUAGAUUCCAUUCGAUUUAGCGUUUUUUGUAGCUGGCGUUGGGUUAAUUAGGAUCGAUUGCCGAAUGGUUUUAUUAGUUGUUUUCGUGGCGUUAAAUACAAUACUGGUGCUUUUCUUUGCCGAAGGUUUGAGAUGGUUAUUUUGUGAUUAAGGUACCUUAUUCUCUUAUGAUUUAAUUGAACUUAUUGUAGUGCUUUGCUUCAUGACUCAAAGUUUUUGAAUAAAGUCUUUUAAAUGAACAA